GCUGUUGGGAGAAGGAAUAACGGCGUAGCCUAUUUUCUAAACAGGAAAAUACUCAGAAAUCAGAGGUGCAGAGGGACUUGGGAGUCAUCAUGCAGGAAGAUUAGCUUCCAGGUUGAGUGAGUGGUAAGGAAGGUCAUGCAAGUUAACCUUCAUUUUGAGAGGACUAGAGUAUAAAACCUCCAAGAGAAGCACAACCUUGACGUAGUUCGGAGGCUUGCGUGCCUCAGUGUCCGGGAGUGGCUGGGGUCACACCCUUGUGCUUUGGCUCUCUGUAGGGUCACCCAUGCCAAACAGGACAAAGGAUAGGGACCAGACUAAGAGUGCUCCGUCACUCAUCUGGCUUAGAGCCAACAACGGUGACUGGUCAGAUAGAACUGUUACAGAAGCAGCAAUGAAGGGUUGUUUGACAGUGGUGAACACCGAGAGGAAGCUCCUGGCAUGAGGAAGGAAGCCCUGAGCACUGCCAGAGAUAGAGGACCUUCAUUGCUGCCCCAGACACCAGUGGCACAGUGCACGAGAGCCAUGAAUCACUGAGAAUCAACGUCAGAUUACAAGCGGUUGUUGAGUCAGUAAGUCCCAGCACCAGCCAGAGUGUGGAAAACAUUUCAGAGGCAUCACCAAGAGCUCUGGUUAUAGAGCUGGAACCCAGGAACAGAGAUUGGCUGACAACUGUCAGCCUCAGAGGCAGCAUCAGAAAGUGCUGGAACACUCGAGCUCAGUCCAAACUCACAGGCUGUACUCGAGCCUCCCUACGAAAGAUCAACGUAACAUCAGAAGACGGGAUCGCCUGAACGAUGACAAUUUACGAGCAGCAAUUCAUCAAAGAGCUGGUGCUUUAAAGGGAACCUGAAUCGUUUCAUAUC